GAAAGAAAAAGAAAAAUUAAAGGAAAACUACUUAGGAACUCAAAGAUCAGCCAGGGAUAAGCCUUAUUACAUUAUCAUUUUUGCUUAUAAUUUACAGUCUAGCCUAUGUGUCUGUAUCUUUUAAUAUCUCUCCAUUCUGUUCUAUAACAUUUUUAUUCAUUUUUUAAAAAAAAAAUCCGGUCACCAAAUGUUCCUCUAUACAGCCUUGGUAAUUCAAGUGAUUGACUAGUAGACCUAGUAGAAGUGCUGCAAUUUAUCUAGCCAACCCCCUACUGAUGGACACUUAGGUCAUUUCCUUUACAGAAAGAUAUUAUUAUUACUAUUCCUUGAUGGAUGCUGCAGUACAGUUGAGCUUCUGAGUCACCCCACUUAAGCCCUGGGAAGUUAGCAAAGGCAACUAACCUGAGCUUUCUGUCUGGUAAACCGGCCUCUGGGUCCCUCCCUCACCCUUGAAGCAGAGGGAAGAGCUCUUUGGAAGCUUUAAGAAGAGGUCAGCCAGCUCAGGAAGGCAGGGAUGGUACACAGGCACAGACUGGAAUCAGGCCAAUCUGACUGCACAAAUAACUUUCACUUGCUGAGCCUUGGUUUCCCCAUUUGUAAGACUGGGAGUGUAGUAAACACACCUUGUAAGUUUGCGUGAGGAUUCAGCAAAAAUAACCCAUGUAUAGAAUUUAUCACAGUGCCUGGAAAAUAUUAUAUGCUUAAAAAGUUGCUAGCUGUUGCUAUUGUAAUGUUUUAUUAUUUCUUCUUUUUCUUCUUUUUUAUUUUUUAGACUGGAACUACAAGACUGUAUUUGCCUUGCUAUCUCUGGGGGGCCAUAUCUAAUCCAGGCCAUUGAUUCAGGAGGCUGCACAAAUCUGCCUAAAUUAUGUAUUGGGGUUGCAUGUUUAAUGCUUGCUACAACUUAGGUGUGUGAAGAAAAUGUAAUUUCUUUGUCUACAGCUGAUCUGGUCUCCCAUGCCCUCCCCCCAUGUAGGCAGAAAACAAAACAAAACAUAAAAAAUUAGGCUUUGCCUCUGUUAUGGGUUGAAUUGUUGCCCCCUCCUCAAAUUUAAAUGUCAACAUCCUACCCCAGUAGCUCAGUACGUGACCUUCUAUAGAGAGAGGGUCUUACAGAGGGAACUGAGUUAAAAUGAGGUCGUUAGGGUGGGCCCUACUCCAAUAUGACUGGUGUCUUUAUAAGAAGAGGAAAAUUUGGGCACAGACAGAUACAGAGGGAAGAGGAUGUGAAGAGACACAGGGAGAAGGUGGCUGCUUGUAAGCUUAGGAGAGAGACUCAGAACAGAUCCUUCCCUUGCAGUCUUCAGAAGGAACCAGUCCUGCCAACUUCUUGAUCUUGGACUUCUAGCCUCCAGAACUGUGAGACAAUAACUUUCCAUGGCAACCCUAGCAAACGAAUAUAAUCCUGUUUUAAAAUUUUAGUCCAAACGAUGGUUUUAUAGGUUCCUGCAGUAAACCUCCUCUAGAUAAGCAUGUUCAUACUCUCUGAGGCUCUGCCUUCCCCUGAUUUUCUCCUGGGGAGGUUUGGGCAUGGUUUGAUCAUCCCGGGGGAGUGUGGAGGAGGAAGGAGAAACCAGGGACCUCUGUUCUCCCCAGUGCUACUUUCCCUGCUGUGUGUGGAAUGUGGCAGAUGAAGGGAUCUUGCUCGGGGCUCAGCUAACAAGUUUCCCCUGGGCUGCCCCACAUAUAAACCCCAGUGCCCCUGAAUUUUUCUUCUGUCUUAGUCCAUUUUUUGUUGCUACAAUAGAAUCUCCAAGACUGAGUAAUUUAUAAUGAAUACAAAUUCAUUUAGCUCAUGAUUCUGGAGGCUGGGAAGUCCAAGAACAUGGUGCCAGCAUCUGGCAAGGUCAGAAGGAAGUGUGGAAAGGUGGGUGUGAACACAAGAGACAGAGUGAGGCACAGGGGCUGGACUGGCUUUAUGACCCACUCUUGAGAUAACUAACUCCCUCCAGUGGUAUGGACAUUAACCCAUUUGUGAAAGCUCUGUCCCCAUGACCCAGUCACUUCUUAUUAGUCUCCACAUCCCAACACGGUUGCAGUGGGGACUAAAUGUCCAACACAUGAACUUUUGGGGGACACAUUCAAGCCAUAGCACCAUCUACCCAACUUCAACUGGGAUGAAGCAUCCCAACUUUCCUGAAGGUCACCCAGCCCUGCCCAUGGCUGCCCUGCUGACUGCCAACCCCACAUCCAUGCCAUGUGAGAACUGAGGGGGACUGAGAAAGCCAGGGAGGUGGCACUGUGACCUAUAGAGCCCCUCCUGCCCUUGGUGCACCUGGAGCAAAGCUGAGAGAGGGAAACCCAAUCGGGCACAACUGGCCAGUUCGUGUCCACUCUCCUGCUCCUGAAUCCCUCUCUCCUCCUCCUCCCCUUGCCCCUGGCUCUACAAGAGUGGCAGCUUCUCUUUCCCUCUCCCUUUGUUAUAUUCUCUGAUCAUCUGGGGGUAAGCUUUGGAGCUACAGAUGGAAGGUGGUUGGCUUCUCACUCUGGCAGAAUCCGGGAGCCAGGUCUUAUAGGCUCAGCCUCCAUGUGUUAAAGAAAGAGAAUAAAAUAGGUUGGAAAAUCCUCCCUCAAGACAAUAGACUGACUUUAGUUGAUAGCCUUGCUGCACAAUCCUAUUUUGCACGUCAGAAACAGAAUAGCACAUCAUUCUUCCUCUUAUAUAACAGUCUGUUUUCCACACAGGCACAUGGCCUCUUGAGACCAACUGGACAAAGAUCAUGUACUCAAAACACUAGCCGUAAGAGGUCCCUCAUAAUUUCCAGAAGAGUCAUCAGAUACAAUUAUUAUUUUUUAUUUUUUACUCCUACUGCUUUUCCCAACAGGCUUUGGAUCUUAAACACUGGAAUAAAAAAAGUCAUAACGAUCACUGUUAAGAUCAUUAUUAACAACCCUUCAAUCAUCAUGAAGAUUCAUUUCACCUUUCACUGAGGAGGAAUGGAGGCUCAGAGAGGUGGUGUUGCCUGCCCAAGGCGGCCCAGCUGGCGAAAUGACACAAAGGCUCACCAAAAUGGCAGCCACGAAGAAGAGCUUGAGCCAGUUGGAGUGUUCGCAAGUCCCCGAUUUCAUGGGAGCCAAAAUCGAGCUGGAGUCCCAGCUACGGAAAGAGGCAGCCACCUGUGAAUGGUGAUGCCUGUUAAGCGGAAGGUCACCCAACCCGACCUGAAGGGCCAGGAUGGCUUCCCAGAGGAAGUGAGGCUUGCAGAAUGUCUAAGAAUUGGCUUGAGCUGCAUUUCUCAGGCUUUAGUGUAUUUUGAUGCUCCAAGCUGCGACUUUCCAUAUGGUCCCUCUGGGGAGUGGCGGUCCUUUGUGAUCACGGGGCUGGACACAAGUUCACAGGUGCUUUCAGGAACUGAACUGUCUGCCCUGGACCCCAUCCUGCCGGAAUAUGAAGGCAUGUGCCCCACGACAUGGUGUGGGGGGCACAUACGGAAUCUUGCCUCAGGAAGGAUGGAUGUUCUAUAGGAAAACCCUGGUACCACCCUCCAAUUGCAUCAGAGCAGGGCAGGAGGGUGGAGACCAGUCUGUGCAGGCCUCCAGGGCAGGGUCCAGGGCUGGCCUUGCCUUUUCACAUCUGUGUGACCACGAAGACAUUGCUUACCUCUCAGCAUCAGUUCUCUCACCUGUAAAAUGGGGCUUGUAACACCACCCCCUCAAAGGGCUGUGAUGAGCAAAUGUUCGUUUCUUUCUCCCUAGGGCUCAGUUUGCUCAACUGUGAAAUGGGCUCGUUGAGCUAGUCCACAGCAUGCUUUUAUAAAUACAGUUUUAUUGGCACACGGCCGUGCCCGUUUGCCCAUUCAUUUGCAUCUUGUCAAUGGAGGUGAAUAGUCAUGGCAGAGCUGAUGGCUGCACAGCCUCAAUAUUUGCUGUCUGUUCUACUUUAGGUGAAAUGUUUGCUGAUUCCUGGGCUAGUCUAGCGAAUUGCAAGCUUUUAUCAGCUGACAUAGGGCACACUUGUGGUUGCCUACCCGUUGCACAUUGGGUUUUCAGAGAAGUAGACUCUGAGACGGAGUUUAGUGUGCAGCACGUUUUUAGGGAUAGCCUGUAGUGCUGUUAGUGCUACGGCUGUGGAAGGGUGGGGAGGGAAGGGAGACUGGGCAGGAAGAGAAGUCAAGCUGUGAUGCAGACUCAGUGACAGCCCCAGCUGACCCCGCAGAAAGACAGAAUGGCUCUUUGGGGGUGUCCUAAGUUGGGCUGAGGUGUCCAGGCCUUUCACCUUAUCUCAUCUCAAUCAAUCUUUGGAUAUGGGCUGCACCCAGGCAGCUAAGGCAAUCCCCAAAGUGACUGACAGCUGAGGGCAAGGACUUCAGUAAAAGGAGUGGCACAUUCCAGAGCCCCCCACGCUAACCCCACAGCCAUUGCUGACCUCUUUGUUGUAGGCAGAGCUCUGGAUAUAUUUUAGGUAGCAAUGUGGAUAUAUUUUAGGUAGCAUAUUUUAGGUAGCAAUAUGAUCAGCUCCAAGGGAUAAAUCCUGACUUCUUGACUCAAUGAAGUUCUCAUACUUCUCUCUUUCCCCUUUGCCACAUAUUUACUUUUUCAGUCACUGUUACAGCUAGCAUGUGACCUAGUUCUGCCCAAUAGGGUAUAGGAGAAAUCUUCAUAGGAGGACUAUGGUCCUGAGAGAGAGAUUUUGCUUUCUGUCUGAAAGAGACAGGCUUGAAAGGAUGAUCUGGCUGGCAGCUCUUUUCCCCUUUCUUCCUGACUCAAAUAUAGGCAUUGAUGCCUGGGGUUAUGGCAGCCAUGUUGAGGCUGUGAGGCAAGAAACAUGAGUUCAAAAAAAUCAACACACUAGGAUGACAGAACCAAAAUAAAUAAACAGAAAAGAAAGAUAGGAAGGAAGGA